rnacentral:rRNA from 1 species
UCCUACGGGAGGCAGCAGUUAGGAAUAUUGGUCAAUGGAGGCAACUCUGAACCAGCCAUGCCGCGUGCAGGAAGAAUGCCCUUUGGGUUGUAAACUGCUUUUAUCAGGGAAUAAACCCUUCUACGUGUAGGAGGCUGAAUGUACCUGAGGAAUAAGGAUCGGCUAACUCCGUGCCAGCAGCCGCGGUAAUACGGAGGAUCCAAGCGUUAUCCGGAUUUAUUGGGUUUAAAGGGUGCGUAGGCGGCUUAUUAAGUCAGGGGUGAAAGACGGUGGCUCAACCAUCGCAGUGCCUUUGAUACUGAUGAGCUUGAAUGUACUUGAGGUAGGCGGAAUGUGACAAGUAGCGGUGAAAUGCAUAGAUAUGUCACAGAACACCGAUUGCGAAGGCAGCUUACCAAGGUAUGAUUGACGCUGAGGCACGAAAGCGUGGGGAUCAAACAGGAUUAGAUACCCUGGUAGUCCACGCCCUAAACGAUGAAUACUCGAUGUUGGCGAUAUACAGUCAGCGUCCAAGCGAAAGCGUUAAGUAUUCCACCUGGGGAGUACGGCCGCAAGGUUGAAACUCAAAGGAAUUGACGGA